rnacentral:rRNA from 1 species
UACAGAGGGUGCGAGCGUUAAUCGGAAUUACUGGGCGUAAAGCGCGCGUAGGCGGCUUUGCAAGUCGGGUGUGAAAUCCCCAGGCUUAACCUGGGAACUGCAUUCGAGACUGCAUUGCUAGAGUAUGGGAGAGGGAAGUGGAAUUUCCGGUGUAGCGGUGAAAUGCGUAGAUAUCGGGAGGAACACCAGUGGCGAAGGCGACUUCCUGGUCUGUUCUUGACGCUGAGGCGCGAAAGCUAGGGUAGCAAACGGG